UGUUUCAGGCAGAUUCCUUAAGCUGAGCUACCAGGGAAGAGCAGGAAGCUACGGGUUCUAAAGGGAACUGAUGCAGAUUGGCUUAUUGGUUACCUGAGAAACCAGUUUCGGCCCUGACCUCACAGGCCCUCAGGUUAAAGACAUUUCCUCUUAAUAAGCUAGCAGGUGGAGCCCUUCUGACCUAAGGAUUAGAACAAUCUUGGGCCUGGAGCAGAGGGUGCAUAGGGGAAGUCCAUAUGAUUCGCGUGUGGGACGCACAGAGAGCAAGAGAGGAGCCACUCUUGCGUCCUGGGCCCAUGCAGUCAGUUUAAAUGGUUGCAGCGAUGUUAAAAUUUGUUUGCAUUGAGACAAGGAGAAAAACAAAACCCAGAGACUUUGAACACAUGUUUCUUAGGUUCACAUCAAGCUGCCUUCGUGAUCCUGCACGAGCCCUUUCAUCUCAUGGUAGAUCAGUCUUCUUAUCUGAAAAAUGGGGAUAGUAACAGGCCUGACCCUGGAGUCUUUAAUAGAGUCUUUUGCUCUUUUUGUUUAUUUAUUUAUUUAUUUUUUUGAGUCUUUGGCUCUUUAAUAAUCAAAAACCAUAGUGGGGAUUCCCUGGCAGUCCAGUGGUUAGGACCCCAGGGCUUUCAUUGCUGUGGAGGUCGGGUUUCAUCUCUGGUUGGAGAAACUAAGAUCCUACAAGCUGAGUGGCAAGGCAAAAACAAAACAAAACAAAACACACCUAGGAAUAGACAGAAGUAAAUAUAGUUGUAUUGUUUAGACCAAAGGCCAGCAAAUGAGUUUUCUGGCCAAAUCCAACAUGGCCUCUGUUUCUAUAAAUUCAGUUUUAUCAGGACACAGGAAGGCCUGUCUGUGGAUGGACCGUCCACGGCUACCCUGGCUCUUUGAAGGUGGGGCUGAGUAGUGGAGCUCUGGCUGGAGAAUUUACCCUCUGGCCCUUUACAGAAAAGGUUUGCAGAUGGCUGGUUUAGACAAGGAGAUGAUGGGUGGUUUUGACCCUUCAUUUUAGAUUCCCUGUUACUAUCAUCUCCCCUUCUUUGCCUGUUUUUAAAGCUGGUGAGGAGAGAGACAUGAGAUGGAGCAGGCAGAGGUCUUUUGCAUCCAUCAGGAACUUUCACGUGAAGGAGUGGAAAGUGAGGUUGGAGAUGGUGGACAGGUCAGAGCCUUGUGAACGGCUGCUCCAGGUGUUUCUCCUUUGCUGGGUCUUCAGCUCGGCGGCCACGUGGCGUUCAUCCUGCUUCCCUCCUGGGGCCCCUCCUUGCGGGCUCUUCACCCCACCUUCAGAUCUGGGCGGCUUCAGCCACGGCCCAGAAACGGAGCAGUCUGCAGCCUGGAGAGCCACCGCUACCAGACUCUACCCGACAGCUCCCUUACGCAUUUCCUCUCCUCUCUGAAGAUAUGAAGUCUGGGUCGUGGCGUCAGAGAAAGUGGGAGAUACUCGGGGAGUCUGGGGCACAGAUUUAUGAUCAUAUCCAGGGGAAAAACAAGCCCGAGGUCAUCCCAUCCCACCAGCCCAAGGACUGCCGAUGACAGUGGACACCUGGACCAGACAGAGAAAAACCAGAUCAACCCUCCUGCAGAGAGACUCCCAGGGGUGCUGACUACUGCUUCUUCAGAAACGGCACAGCUGUAAGCCCUGAGGGAGGCCCAGGACCUGGGCUCCGCGAGGCCAGGAGCUGCUUGGCCAGAGGCAGGGACUUGGAGAGAAAAACUGUUGAUGUGGGAGAGAGAGGAGAAAAAAAGCAAGAAUGGGCAAGGGGAAACAGACAUUUAAGUGUCUGUAAAUGUGCAAGAUUUUCUAUGUUUUACCUAAUUUAAUCCUCAAAAAAAAAAAAAAAAAUCUGCAAGGUGGAUACUGUAACUCAUGUUUGAGAGAUGAGGAAACCAAGGAGUUUAAAUAUUAUUUCCCAGAGAAGGUGGCCUAGAUGUGCAGCCACAAAGGGUUGCCUAAGACUGGAUUCCAGAACUCGGCACAGUUGAGAACAGCUGGGGGCAAGUUCUUUUCAAGAACGUGGGAGGAAGGGGCAGGGCAAAUAUUUGUCUUUAGGGGUGGGGGUGCAGAGCACAGCCUGACUGCCGAGAAGCGCUGAGCCACGUGCGUCCAGCUCCUCUCCCCACUCAUCUAGAAUCUGUGAGGGGACCAGAGUGACUCAUGGGGGUCCCUCCACACGGGAGGAAGCACCAAACACCAGACAUGGGAGCCAAGUGGUCCUGUCGCCUUCUCUGGGGCUUGUUCUCCUGGCUCAUGGGACUCCAGCCGAGGCCCUGCUUACCCCACGGGGAUGGAGGUGAGCAGCCCACCAAUACAGUCCUGCUCAGUCCAGGAAAUACAGGUGCACUUUCCGGAUCAUUCUGAGCCUGCUGUCGGACAACAUUCAUUUAGCCUCCAGAAGGCUCAGAAAUGAUUCAGAACAUGAUGGGAAUGAGAUUAGCAGCAAAACCAUGUUCUACUCAGAGCUGGAAAUUCACCUGACUGUGUUUCCUGUCCCCAGUAACCACAUGAAAAUGUAGGUUUUAUUAUUAUUCAGGGCUGGUGAGGCCAGCAGAUCAAGAGAUGAGUG